rnacentral:ncRNA from 2 species
GUUGCUGACUCGGGGUGCCUUUGCAUUAAUUGCGGUGGCUGAGAAUUUACCCGUAUAACCUGAUCUGGAUAAUGCCAGCGUAGGGAAGUCACGGUAUCUCAUC